CUUGCCGCCGGCGACCGGCGCACGGGUGAGUAACACGUAUGCAACCUGCCCCUGUCAGGGGGACAACCCGCCGAAAGGCGGGCUAAACCCGCGUACAUGCCACCGGGGCAUCCCGGAGGCAGGAAAGGCUUCGGCCGGACAGGGAUGGGCAUGCGGCGCAUUAGGCAGUAGGCGGGGUAACGGCCCACCUAACCGACGAUGCGUAGGGGUUCUGAGAGGAAGGUCCCCCACACUGGUACUGAGACACGGACCAGACUCCUACGGAAGGCAGCAG
rnacentral:rRNA from 1 species